UUAAAUUGAAGAGUUUGAUCAUGGCUCAGAUUGAACGCUGGCGGCAGGCCUAACACAUGCAAGUCGAACGGUAACAGGAAGCAGCUUGCUGCUUUGCUGAUGAGUGGCGGACGGGUGAGUAAUGUCUGGGAAACUGCC
rnacentral:rRNA from 1 species